UCGUAGAUCAGCAUGCUACGGUGAAUACCUCCCCGUGUCUUGUGCACACCGCCCGUCACACCACGAGAGUUUGUAACACCCGAAGCCGGUGGAGUAACCAUUUGGAGCUAGCCGUCGAAGGUGGGACAAAUGAUUGGGGUGAAGUCGUAACAAGGUAGCCGUAUCGGAAGGUGCGGCUGGAUCACCUCCUUUCUAAGGA
rnacentral:rRNA from 1 species